rnacentral:tRNA from 1 species
GCCCCCGUAGCUCAGCGGAUAGAGCAGCUGCCUUCUAAGCAGUUGGCCGCGCGUUCGAAUCGCGCCGGGGGCG